rnacentral:rRNA from 1 species
UACAGAGGGUGCAAGCGUUAAUCGGAAUUACUGGGCGUAAAGCGUGCGUAGACGGUUAUUUAAGUCAGGUGUGAAAGCCCAGGGCUCAACCUUGGAAUUGCAUUUGAGACUGAAUAGCUAGGGUGCGGAAGAGGGAAGCGGAAUUUCCGGUGUAGCGGUGAAAUGCGUAGAUAUCGGGAGGAACACCUGUGGCGAAAGCGGCUCACUGGACCACAACUGACGCUGAUGCGCGAAAGCUAGGGGAGCAAACAGG